rnacentral:rRNA from 1 species
CCUACGGGAGGCAGCAGUGCGGAAUAUUGGUCAAUGGUCGGGAGACUGAACCAGCCAAGCCGCGUGAGGGAUGAAGGUACAGAGUAUCGUAAACCUCUUUUGUCAGGGAACAAAGGCGGGGACGUGUCCCCGGAUGAGUGUACCUGAAGAAAAAGCAUCGGCUAACUCCGUGCCAGCAGCCGCGGUAUUACGGAGGAUGCGAGCGUUAUCUGGAUUUAUUGGGUUUAAAGGGUGCGCAGGCGGUCUGUAAAGUCAACGGCAAAAGCCCGGGGAUAAACCCCGGCCCGCCGUUGAAACUGGACGCCUUGAGUUCACAACAGGCAGGCGGAAUUCGUGUUGUAGCGGUGAAAUGCAUAGAUAUCACGAGGAACCCCGAUUGCGAAGGCAGCCUGCCGGGGUGCAACUGACGCUGAGGCUCGAAGGUGCGGGUAUCAAACAGGAUUAGAGACCCUUGUAGUC